GGGGGGGGGGGGGGGGGGGGGGGGCGCGUGGGGGUCGAGGGAGACCUUCGGGUCGAGUGGCGCGCGGGUGCGUAACGCGUGGGAACCUGCCCUUAGGUUCGGAAUAACUCCCCGCGAGGGGUGCUACUACCGGAUAAUGUCUUCGGACCAAAGAUUUAUCGCCUUUGGAUGGGCCCGCGUUGGAUUAGCUAGUUGGUAGGGUAAAAGCCUACCAAGGCGACGAUCCAUAGCUGGUCUGAGAGGAUGAUCAGCCACACUGGGACUGAGACACGGCCCAGACUCCUACGGGAGGCAGCAGUGGGGAAUAUUGGACAAUGGGCGAAAGCCUGAUCCAGCAAUGCCGCGUGAGUGAUGAAGGCCUUAGGGUUGUAAAGCUCUUUUACCCGGGAUGAUAAUGACAGUACCGGGAGAAUAAGCUCCGGCUAACUCCGUG
rnacentral:rRNA from 1 species